AUUAGGAUGUCCGAAAUUUAAGGAAGUAAACUGUAAAUUUACUAAUGAAUAAUUAUUCUUCUAAUA
rnacentral:tRNA from 1 species